rnacentral:rRNA from 1 species
UGGGGAAUAUUGCACAAUGGGCGCAAGCCUGAUGCAGCCAUGCCGCGUGUAUGAAGAAGGCCUUCGGGUUGUAAAGUACUUUCAGCGGGGAGGAAGGGAGUAAAGUUAAUACCUUUGCUCAUUGACGUUACCCGCAGAAGAAGCACCGGCUAACUCCGUGCCAGCAGCCGCGGUAAUACGGAGGGUGCAAGCGUUAAUCGGAAUUACUGGGCGUAAAGCGCACGCAGGCGGUUUGUUAAGUCAGAUGUGAAAUCCUCGGGCUCAACCUGGGAACUGCAUCUGAUACUGGCAAGCUUGAGUCUCGGAGAGGGGGGUAGAAUUCCAGGUGUAGCGGUGAAAUGCGUAGAGAUCUGGAGGAAUACCGGUGGCGAAGGCGGCCCCCUGGACGAAGACUGACGCUCAGGUGCGAAAGCGUGGGGAGCAAACAGG